AUUGAACGCUGGCGGCAUGCCUUACACAUGCAAGUCGAACGGCAGCACGGGAGCAAUCCUGGUGGCGAGUGGCGAACGGGUGAGUAAUAUAUCGGAACGUGCCCAGUCGUGGGGAUAACGUAGCGAAAGCUACGCUAAUACCGCAUACGAUCUAUGGAUGAAAGCGGGGGAUCGCAAGACCUCGCGCGAUUGGAGCGGCCGAUAUCAGAUUAGGUAGUUGGUGAGGUAAAGGCUCACCAAGCCGACGAUCUGUAGCUGGUCUGAGAGGACGACCAGCCACACUGGGACUGAGACACGGCCCAGACUCCUACGGGAGGCAGCAGUGGGGAAUUUUUGGACAAUGGGCGCAAGCCUGAUCCAGCAAUGCCGCGUGCAGGAAGAAGGCCUCGGUUGGUAACUAGC
rnacentral:rRNA from 1 species